rnacentral:rRNA from 1 species
UUGUGAGUUCGAUGAGUAGGGCGGGACACGUGACAUCCUGUCUGAAUAUGGGGGGACCAUCCUCCAAGGCUAAAUACUCCUGACUGACCGAUAGUGAACCAGUACCGUGAGGGAAAGGCGAAAAGAACCCCGGCGAGGGGAGUGAAAUAGAACCUGAAACCGUGUACGUACAAGCAGUGGGAGCCUACUUGUUAGGUGACUGCGUACCUUUUGUAUAAUGGGUCAGCGACUUAUAUUCUGUAGCAAGGUUAACCGUAUAGGGGAGCCGCAGGGAAACCGAGUCUUAACUGGGCGUUAAGUUGCAGGGUAUAGACCCGAAACCCGGUGAUCUAGCCAUGGGCAGGUUGAAGGUUGGGUAACACUAACUGGAGGACCGAACCGACUAAUGUUGAAAAAUUAGCGGAUGACUUGUGGCUGGGGGUGAAAGGCCAAUCAAACCGGGAGAUAGCUGGUUCUCCCCGAAAGCUAUUUAGGUAGCGCCUCGUGAAUUCAUCUUCGGGGGUAGAGCACUGUUUCGGCUAGGGGGUCAUCCCGACUUACCAACCCGAUGCAAACUACGAAUACCGAAGAAUGUUAUCACGGGAGACACACGGCGGGUGCUAACGUUCGUCGUGAAGAGGGAAACAACCCAGACCGCCAGCUAAGGUCCCAAAGUCAUGGUUAAGUGGGAAACGAUGUGGGAAGGCAUAGACAGCCAGGAUGUUGGCUUAGAAGCAGCCAUCAUUUAAAGAAAGCGUAAUAGCUCACUGGUCGAGUCGGCCUGCGCGGAAGAUGUAACGGGGCUAAACCAUGCACCGAAGCUGCGGCAGCGACGCUUAGGCGUUGUUGGGUAGGGGAGCGUUCUGUAAGCCGUCGAAGGUGGCCUGUGAGGGCUGCUGGAGGUAUCAGAAGUGCGAAUGCUGACAUAAGUAACGAUAAUGCGGGUGAAAAACCCGCACGCCGGAAGACCAAGGGUUCCUGUCCAACGUUAAUCGGGGCAGGGUGAGUCGACCCCUAAGGCGAGGCUGAAAAGCGUAGUCGAUGGGAAACAGGUUAAUAUUCCUGUACUCGGUGUUACUGCGAAGGGGGGACGGAGAAAGCUAGGUUAUCCGGGCGACGGUUGUCCCGGUUUAAGCGUGAAGGUGGAUGACUUUGGUAAAUCCGGGUCGUCAUUAACACUGAGGCGUGAUGACGAGUCACUACGGUGAUGAAGUAACCGAUGCUACGCUUCCAGGAAAAGCCUCUAAGCUCCAGGUAACAUCAAAUCGUACCCCAAACCGACACAGGUGGUCAGGUAGAGAAUACUCAGGCGCUUGAGAGAACUCGGGUGAAGGAACUAGGCAAAAUGGUGCCGUAACUUCGGGAGAAGGCACGCUGAUGGUAGGUGAAGUGACUUGCUCAUGGAGCUGAAAUCAGUCGAAGAUACCAGCUGGCUGCAACUGUUUAAUAAAAACACAGCACUGUGCAAACACGAAAGUGGACGUAUACGGUGUGACGCCUGCCCGGUGCCGGAAGGUUAAUUGAUGGGGUCAGCCGCAAGGCGAAGCUCUUGAUCGAAGCCCCGGUAAACGGCGGCCGUAACUAUAACGGUCCUAAGGUAGCGAAAUUCCUUGUCGGGUAAGUUCCGACCUGCACGAAUGGCGUAAUGAUGGCCAGGCUGUCUCCACCCGAGACUCAGUGAAAUUGAACUCGCUGUGAAGAUGCAGUGUACCCGCGGCAAGACGGAAAGACCCCGUGAACCUUUACUAUAGCUUGACACUGAACCUUGAGCCUUGAUGUGUAGGAUAGGUGGGAGGCUUUGAAGCGUGGACGCCAGUCUGCGUGGAGCCAACCUUGAAAUACCACCCUUUAAUGUUUGAUGUUCUAACGUGGACCCGUAAUCCGGGUUGCGGACAGUGUCUGGUGGGUAGUUUGACUGGGGCGGUCUCCUCCCAAAGCGUAACGGAGGAGCACGAAGGUUAGCUAAUCCUGGUCGGACAUCAGGAGGUUAGUGCAAAGGCAUAAGCUAGCUUGACUGCGAGAGUGACAGCUCGAGCAGGUGCGAAAGCAGGUCUUAGUGAUCCGGUGGUUCUGAAUGGAAGGGCCAUCGCUCAACGGAUAAAAGGUACUCCGGGGAUAACAGGCUGAUACCGCCCAAGAGUUCAUAUCGACGGCGGUGUUUGGCACCUCGAUGUCGGCUCAUCACAUCCUGGGGCUGAAGUAGGUCCCAAGGGUAUGGCUGUUCGCCAUUUAAAGUGGUACGCGAGCUGGGUUUAGAACGUCGUGAGACAGUUCGGUCCCUAUCUGCCGUGGGCGUUGGAAGAUUGAGAGGGGUUGCUCCUAGUACGAGAGGACCGGAGUGAACGCACCACUGGUGUACGGGUUGUGAUGCCAAUUGCAUUGCCCGGUAGCUAAGUGCGGAAGAGAUAACCGCUGAAAGCAUCUAAGCGGGAAACUUGCCUCGAGAUGAGUCUUCCCUGGGCACUUGAUGCCCUGAAGGGCCGUUGAAGACGACGACGUAGAUAGGCUGGGUGUGUAAGCGUAGCGAUACGUUGAGCUAACCAGUACUAAUGACCCGAGAGGCUUAACCUU